rnacentral:rRNA from 1 species
GACGAACGCUGGCGGCGUGCUUAACACAUGCAAGUCGAACGGAAAGGCCCCUUUGGGGGUACUCGAGUGGCGAACGGGUGAGUAACACGUGAGUAACCUGCCCUUGACUUCGGGAUAACUUCAGGAAACUGGGGCUAAUACCGGAUAGGAAUCCUUGCUGCAUGGUGGGGGUUGGAAAGCUUCGGCGGUUUUGGAUGGACUCGCGGCUUAUCAGCUUGUUGGUGGGGUAGUGGCUUACCAAGGCUUUGACGGGUAGCCGGCCUGAGAGGGCGACCGGCCACAUUGGGACUGAGAUACGGCCCAGACUCCUACGGAAGGCAGCGGUGGGGAAUAUUGCACAAUGGGCGGAAGCCUGAUGCAGCAACGCCGCGUGCGGGAUGACGGCCUUCGGGUUGUAAACCGCUUUCAGCAGGGGCGAAGCUUGUGGUGACGGUACCUGCAGAAGAAGCACCGGCUAACUACGUG